AUGCUCGCUUUGGCAGCACAUAUACUAAGAUUGGAAUGAUGCAGAGAAGAUUAGAAUGGCCCCUGAGCAAGCAUGGCACGCAAAUUUGUGAAGCGUUCCAUAAUUUU